rnacentral:rRNA from 1 species
GAUGAACGCUAGCGACAGGCCUAACACAUGCAAGUCGAGGGGCAGCACAAAGUAGCAAUACUUGGUGGCGACCGGCGCACGGGUGAGUAACACGUAUGCAACCUACCUGUAAGCGGGGAAUAACCCGGAGAAAUUCGGACUAACACCGCAUAAUACUGAAUUACUGCAUGGUUUUUCAGUUAAAUAUUUAUAGCUUACAGAUGGGCAUGCGUAUGAUUAGAUAGUUGGUAGGGUAACGGCCUACCAAGUCAACGAUCAUUAGGGGUUCUGAGAGGAAGGUCCCCCACACUGGUACUGAGACACGGACCAGACUCCUACGGGAGGCAGCAGUGAGGAAUAUUGGUCAAUGGGCGAGAGCCUGAACCAGCCAAGUCGCGUGAAGGAAGAAGGUUCUAUGGAUUGUAAACUUCUUUUGUAAGGGAAUAAAAAGAGUACGUGUACUCUAUUGUAUGUACUUUACGAAUAAGGAUCGGCUAACUCCGUGCCAGCAGCCGCGGUAAAACGUGCGUG